AGAAAAAAGACGGGAACGUAGUCUCCUACUGCUUAAGGUAUCAGCAGUUUGCAACACAUGAGAGUUGCUACCAAAACUCAAAUUAACUCCACCACUGUCCUGUUGCUGCAGGUGGUGCCCCAAUCCAAUACUAGUCCUAAUUCUUCUUAGUGCCUCUGCAACCGGGAUGUGAGAUAAACCCUGAGUUGCACGCUGCUGUCUAACACUCUCUACUCGACGUGCCUUUGGCCGUGGUGGUAUUUUCAGACCAGACUCCAGUUCUGUAAUGCUUUCACCGUCUCCAUUACCAUAAAUUGGAGUAACAUUUGCAUCUGCAACCUCUCCCUUGCAGACAGGACAUUCCUUUGUAGUUGAAUCAACAUAAGGUAACUGAUAAAAGCAUGGCCAGCAAAAUAAGUGUCCACAACAGGUCAAGAUAGGUUCUUUCGCCAUAUCCAAGCAUAUAUUACAGUCGAAAAAACUCCCACUGUCAUCAUCUACCUUAUUAACCACUAAAUCCAUCUCUAAUGCCUUUGCUACCAAAUGGGAACUAUCCCUUUUGCAUCCUUUUCCCCUCUCAACCGUCCUUUCCACCAUAUCCGAAUUGCUCACCCUAUUCUGACCUUGCAUAUCACUAUCCACAUUGACUACUGGGUCAACCGAAACAUUACCAGUAUCAAUAGUACUCCGAGCCUGACGCCACCUAUGGCGCUGCAAAGCCCUAGCAGUAACAGCCUCAAGCUGCCUAAUUCUCUCCUCUAUCCUACUAUGAGCAGAUUCUAAAUCACUCAACAAAGACCCUAAUCCUAAAGCUGAACCAGAAGAUGGGUCCAAAGGUUCUUGGUUCAAAUCCAGAUCCAUCACAACAUCAUCCAUCAAAUUAUCAGACAUCCAGUUUAAUCCUACUAAUACCACUUAAUUCCCAAGAUACCCUUUAUCCAGAACAACCAAGCAGACCCCUUUACUAGUCUAGAUUUUGCCUGCAAGAAAUAUGACAUUCAAGCAUCCAAAUGAAGAAAAUCCAUGGUUUUCUUGAUACAUCGGGCAUCCAGUGAUUCUUGUAAAAAGAGAAAAAGAAAUGGCAUUUUGAUCAUCAGAGUAUCCGAGGAAGAAGAAAGUAAAAAAUGGAGAAAGCGCCG
rnacentral:misc_RNA from 1 species